CAUUAAAUGACUGAAGGUAAGUAAUGGUCUCUUAAACCAUGGUAUAGUAAAUUAACAAUUACUUUUAAUGG
rnacentral:tRNA from 1 species